AGUGAAUAGAUACCCAGGUAGUCCCAGCUGUAAACGAUGCGCGUUAGGUGUAUCGGUGACCACGAGUCACCGAGGUGCCGAAGAGAAAUCGUGAAACGUGCCGCCUGGGUAGUACGGUCGCAAGGCUGAAACUUAAAGGAAUUGGCGGGGGAGCACCACAACAGGUGGAGCCUGCGGUUUAAUCGGACUCAACGCCGGGAAGCUCACCGGAUAAGACAGCUGAAUGAUAGCCGGGUUGAAGACUCUGCUUGACUAGCUGAGAGGAGGUGCAUGGCCGUCGUCAGUUCGUACUGUGAAGCAUCCUGUUAAGUCAGGCAACGAGCGAGACCCACGCCAACAGUUGCCAGCAUGUCCUCCGGGAUGGUGGGGACACUGUUGGGACCGCCUCUGCUAAAGAGGAGGAAGGAAUGGGCAACGGUAGGUCAGCAUGCCCCGAAUUAUCCGGGCUACACGCGGGCUACAAUGGUCAGGACAAUGGGUAUCAACACCGAAAGGUGAAGGCAAUCUCCUAAACCUGUCC
rnacentral:rRNA from 1 species